CGGACCUGGCCGCCGUGCCUAUACAUGCAAGUCGAGCGAACAGACGAGGAGCUUGCUCCUCUGACGUUAGCGGCGGACGGGUGAGUAACACGUGGAUAACCUACCUAUAAGACUGGGAUAACUUCGGGAAACCGGAGCUAAUACCGGAUAACAUGUUGAACCGCAUGGUUCAACAGUGAAAGACGGUCUUGCUGUCACUUAUAGAUGGAUCCGCGCCGCAUUAGCUAGUUGGUAAGGUAACGGCUUACCAAGGCAACGAUGCGUAGCCGACCUGAGAGGGUGAUCGGCCACACUGGAACUGAGACACGGUCCAGACUCCUACGGGAGGCAGCAGUAGGGAAUCUUCCGCAAUGGGCGAAAGCCUGACGGAGCAACGCCGCGUGAGUGAAGAAGGUCUUCGGAUCGUAAAACUCUGUUAUUAGGGAAGAACAAAUGUGUAAGUAACUAUGCACGUCUUGACGGUACCUAAUCAGAAAGCCACGGCUAACUACGUGCCAGCAGCCGCGGUAAUACGUAGGUGGCAAGCGUUAUCCGGAAUUAUUGGGCGUAAAGCGCGCGUAGGCGGUUUUUUAAGUCUGAUGUGAAAGCCCACGGCUCAACCGUGGAGGGUCAUUGGAAACUGGAAAACUUGAGUGCAGAAGAGGAAAGUGGAAUUCCAUGUGUAGCGGUGAAAUGCGCAAAGAUAUGGAGGAACACCAGUGGCGAAGGCGACUUUCUGGUCUGUA
rnacentral:rRNA from 1 species